UAGGGUUUGAUUAUGGCUCAGAACGAACGCUGGCGGCAGGCCUAACACAUGCAAGUCGAGCGCGCCUUUCGGGGUGAGCGGCGGACGGGUUAGUAACGCGUGGGAACGUACCCUUUUCUGCGGAAUAGCCUUCUGGAAACGGAGAGUAAUACCGCAUACGCCCUUUGGGGGAAAGAUUUAUCGGAGAAGGAUCGGCCCGCGUUAGAUUAGAUAGUUGGUGGGGUAACGGCCUACCAAGUCUACGAUCUAUAGCUGGUUUUAGAGGAUGAUCAGCAACACUGGGACUGAGACACGGCCCAGACUCCUACGGGAGGCAGCAGUGGGGAUCUUGGACAAUGGGCGCAAGCCUGAUCCAGCCGUGCCGCGUGAGUGAAGAAGGCCUUAGGGUCGUAAAGCUCUUUCGCCUGUGAUGAUAAUGACAGUAGCAGGUAAAGAAACCCCGGCUAACUCCGUGCCAGCAGCCGCGGUAAUACA
rnacentral:rRNA from 1 species